GCUUUGAACCGCUGGCCUAGUGGCUAGAGCGUCCGUCUCGGAUGCGGAAGGUCGUGGGUUCAAUCCCCGGUCGAAAUA